rnacentral:rRNA from 1 species
AACGAACGCUGGCGGCAGGCCUAACACAUGCAAGUCGAGCGGACAUCUUCGGAUGUUCCCGGUGGACGGGUGAGUAACGCGUGGGAACGUGCCCUUUGCUUCGGAAUCGCCUCGGGUAACUGAGAGUAAUACCGGCUGUACUCUUACGGGGAAAGAUUUUUCGGCAAAUGGUCGGACCGCGAUGGAUUAGGUAGUUGGCGGGGUAAUGGCCUACCAAGCCGCAGAUCCAUAGCUGGAUUGAGAGGAUGAUCAGCCACACUGGGACUGAGCCACGGCGCAGACUCCCACGAGUGGGCGCAGUGGGGAAUCAUCGACAACGCGGGAAACCCUGAUGUAGCCAUGCCGUGUGAGCGAUGAAUGCCUGAGGAACGUAAAUCUCUUUCACCGGGGAAGAUAUUGACGUUACCCAGAGAAGAAGCCCCGGCUACCUCCGU